rnacentral:rRNA from 1 species
UAGAGAAAAGAUUUUUCAUAUGUCUUACUCGCCCGUACCGUAAACCGACACAGGUGGGUGAGUGUAAAUGCACUAAGGCGCGCGAGAGAGACCUCUCUAAGGAACUCGGCACAUUAGCCUCGUAACUUCGGGAAAAGAGGUGCUCACUUCGGUGAGCCACAGUAAAUUGCGUUUAGCGACUGUUUAACAAAAACACAGCACUCUGCUAAGUCGUUAAGACGACGUAUAGGGUGUGACACGUGACCAAUGCGGAAAGAUUAAGGCAUUUUGUUAGCCGCAAGGCGAAGCUCGGUGCCAAAGUCCCCGUGAAUGUCGGCCGUAACUAUAACGGUCCUAAGGUAGCGAAAUUCCUUGUCGGGUAAGUUCCGACCUGCACGAAUCGUGUAACGACUGAACGACUGUCUCGGAGAGGAUCUCGGCGAAACUGUAACUGCGGUGAAGAUGCCGCAUGCCCGCAGUAGGACGGAAAGACCCUAUGCACCUUUACUGUAAGCUGGUAUUGUGUUCUGAUUAAUAAUGCGUAGCGUAGGUGGGAGGCUUUGAAGUGAGUGCUUCGGUGCUCAUGGAGCCGCAAUGUGAAACACCACUCUUUGCUAAUUAGGAUUCUAACCUCGAUUCCUGUCAACCAGGCGAGGGACAGUGCUUGCGGGUCAGUUUGACUGGGGCGGUUUCCUCCCAAAGAGUAACGGAGGAGCGCGAAGCUUGGCUCAGCACGGUUGGCAACCGUGCGUCGAGCGUAUGGGUAUAAGCCAGGUUAACUGUGAGACCUACAAGUCGAGCAGAUGCGAAAGCAGGCCCAAAUGAUCCGAUGGUUUAAUGUGGAAUUGCCAUCGCUCAACGGACAAAAGGUACGCUAGGGAUAACAGGCUGAUCGGUUCCAAGAGUUCACAUCGACGAACCGGUUUGGCACCUCGAUGUCGGCUCAUCGCAUCCUGGGGCUGGAGAAGGUCCCAAGGGUCCGGCUGUUCGCCGGUUAAAGCGGUACGCGAGCUGGGUUCAGAACGUCGUGAGACAGUUCGGUCCUUAUCCACUGUGGGCGCAGGAAUCUUGAGGGGUUCAUUCUCUAGUACGAGAGGACCGAGAAUGACGCACUUCUGGUGUGGCAGUUGUUCCAUCAGGGGCAUCGCUGCGUAGCCAUGUGCGGAAGAGAUAAGCGCUGAAAGCAUCUAAGUGCCAAGCUCAUCCCAAGAUAUGGAUUCCCGGACGCAAGUCCCUAAAGACCCCCGGCAGACUACCGGGUUGAUAGGUCAGGCAUGUAAGCGUCGCGAGAUGUUUAGUGGACUGAUACUAAUUGGUCGUGCGGCUUGAUCGU